rnacentral:lncRNA from 1 species
GGAAAAAAAUCACCAACGCUGAAUCCUCCAAGGAGUUCCUGGUACUCAUCAAGCAUCUUUUGAAAACCAUAUUUUUUACUCUCUCCUCCUUCUGUAAAGUCCCUUCCAAAUGCUACACGGCAAACAACAUUAUUUGCAUAAAGUCCCAAUAUCUUGGACAAAUUGAUAGCUCCUGGAUAAGACCCUGCAACCCUUUCAACUAAACUAGCAACUUCUUCUUCUCUAACAACACUGUAUGAGUUUACCCUUUUGGCACUUAGAAGCUCAAGUAUGCAAAUUUUUCUCACAUGCCUCCAGUAAGCACUGUAAGGAGCGAAAGCGAUGUCUGUACAAUUGUAAAAGAGGUACUUAGCUGAAAACAGUUGCGGUCGGCUUGCGAGUGCAAGGUCAUGUGUUUUCAACACCUCCUUUGCUAGUCUAGCUGAUGAAAC